AAAUUCAGUAAAAGUCCGGAGUGCAAAUCCGGANNUGGUUUAUUAGACCCUGGAUUU
rnacentral:tRNA from 1 species